UUACCGAUAGUUAAAGCGAAGCUUUUACUUCGGGAGUUGCCAAAUUGUUAAGGCGCGGGAUCAGCUGCAGCAGGGAGGCUUAGGAAAGCUGCAAUAUCAGCUGUUCUGCAUUUCCGGUAACCUAAAUGGAAUGUAGGUUGUUCCAUGCUCGGUCUUUUCUAUCGAAACCCCCCAGAAGUGCAGACGCCCAAAUAAUAUCUCUCUGCAAGUGUAAAUUUUAUCAGCGCAAGAUCAGCGCAAGUGCAAAGUGUUUAUUUUUUUUUUCUUAUCAAAUUCCGAGUAAGUUGCAGAUCAUGCGUAUGUUUUUGUUUUAUUUACAUGCAUACGCUUAUCUAGAUUUGCAACGGAGAUAAGGGCAGCCUAAGCCUGUGUUUGUGGGUUUUUUUUUUCUUUUGUGUGUCGCGGCUUUAUGAAAGCGCGACCUCGUUGCGGUCUUAUCAAAAUUUAUCAGUUUCGUUGCGGUCCACACCAAAACACCCCGGGAGCGCUCCUGGUGGAGGCUCCCAGUUCAGGAGCGGCUUAACCUCGAUCGGGCUUUUAGUGAAGUGGAAAAAAAACGGAAUUGGAAAAUAUGAAGAUAAUAUUUAUUUUUUUUAAACUUUCGCGAACAAAAUGGUUGUCAGUUUAAUUUUAAAUCGUUUAAUUUUAAUCCUCGUGCGAAAAUAAGUUUGUUUUAAAAUUCUAUGGUGUGCAAAAGCCUCAUUACACUCAUUUACAGCAACCCAAAGCAGAGAUCGAUCUUUCGCCGAUGGAUUUACAGUGAGUGGUUUAUUUACCUUUUACAUAU